UGCCUUUUGUUUAAUGAGUCUGCGAGUCAGUGUUUGUGGCAAGACUAAGGGCUUCCGGCCCGGAGUCGCAGCGAAAGCAAGUCCGAACAGGGCGCAAUAAGUCGCAGGUACUGGACCCGAAGCGGAGGUGACCUACCCUUGGCCAGGUUGAAGCAUGGGUAAAACCAUGUGGAGGACCGAACAGGUGAACGUUGAAAAGUUCUCUGAUGAGCUGAGGGUAGGAGUGAAAGGCUAAUCAAACCCCGUGAUAGCUGGUUCUCUUCGAAAUGCAUUUAGGUGCAGCGUCACGUGCUGAUGCGCGGGGGUAGAGCACUGACAAGGCUAGGGGGCACACCCGCUUACCAAACCUUAUCAAACUCCGAAUACCGUGCAAUGGAACGUGGCAGUGAGACAGUGGGGGAUAAGCUUCAUUGUCGAGAGGGAAACAACCCAGACCAGCAGCUAAGGUGCCUAAAUAACGCUCAGUGGAAAGGAUGUGGGAUUACACAGACAGUGAGGAUGUUGGCUUAGAAGCAGCCACCAUUUAAAAAAUGCGUAAUAGCUUACUCAUCGAGUGAUCCUGCGCCGAAAAUGAUUGGCGAUCAAGCGUUAUACCGAAGCUCUGGACUUUGCCGCAAGGCAGAGUGGUAGAAGAGCGUUGCAUGCGCGUCGAAGGGCGAUGGCGACUGACCCUGGAGCACAUGCAAGUGAGUAUGCAGACAUGAGUAACGUUAAGCCGGGUGAAAUCCCCGGCCGCCGUAAACCCGAGGUUUCCAGGGCAACGUGUUUCGUCCCUGGGUUAGCCGGGACCUAAGCCGAGGCCGAGAGGCGUAGGCGAUGGACAUCAGGUUAAUAAUCCUGAGCUCGCAACCCUUAAACUGGGGGGACGCAUGAGAAAAGAUGACUAGGUUAUUGAAUUCCGAGUUGAGUCCACGGACUCAGCGCAUCAUUGGAUCGAGUGCCAAGAAAAGCCCCAGCGUAUGCUAAGCGACCCGUACCGCAAACCGACACAGGUGGGUGGGUAGAAUAUACCAAGGCGUAAGAGUGAAACCUGGUUAAGGAACUCGGCAAAUUAGCCCCGUAACUUCGGAAGAAGGGGUGCCUGCAGCGAUGCAGGCCGCAGAGAAAUGGCCCAACCGACUGUUUAUCAAAAACACAGCACUCUGCAAAGACGCAAGUCGAAGUAUAGGGUGUGACACGUGACCAAUGCCGAAAGAUUAAGGCAAGGGGUUAGCCGCAAGGCGAAGCUCUAAACCCAAGUCCCGGUGAAUGUCGGCCGUAACUAUAACGGUCCUAAGGUAGCGAAAUUCCUUGUCGGGUAAGUUCCGACCUGCACGAAUCGUGAAACGAGUUGGGCACUGUCUCAACCAGGCGCUCAGUGAAAUUGUAGUGGCGGUGAAGAUGCCGCCUACCCGCAGAAGGACGGAAAGACCCUAUAGACCUUAACUGUAAGCUGUCAUUGUUUCUUCGGUUUUAAUGCUCAGAGUAAGUGGGAGACGCUGAAGACGCCCUUUAGGGGGCGUCCGAGUCAUCAAUGAGACACCACCCUUUGAAACUGGAGGAUCUAACCCUGAGCCGUGAAUCCGGCCAGAGGACCGUGUCAGCCGGUCAGUUUUACUGGGGCGGUAUCCUCCCAAAGAGUAACGGAGGAGCGCGAAGGUGGGCUCAGCCCGGUUGGCAACCGGGUGUCGAGUGCAUGGGCAUAAGCCCGCCUAACUGUGAGACCAACAAGUCGAGCAGAUGCGAAAGCAGGCCCAAGUGAUCCGGCGGUAGAAAGUGGAAUUGCCGUCGCUCAACGGAUAAAAGGUACCUUAGGGAUAACAGGCUGAUCACGCCCAAGAGUUCAUAUCGACGGCGUGGUUUGGCACCUCGAUGUCGGCUCGUCGCAUCCUGGGGCUGGAGAAGGUCCCAAGGGUCCGGCUGUUCGCCGGUUAAAGCGGCACGCGAGCUGGGUUCAGAACGUCGCGAGACAGUUCGGUCCUCUAUCCUCUGUGGGCGUUGGAAAAUUGAGGGGUUCAGACCUUAGUACGAGAGGACCGGGUCUGACGCACCACUGGUGCAUCGGUUGUAUUGUCAAGUGCAUGGCCGAGUAGCUAAGUGCGGACGGGAUAAGCGCUGAAAGCAUCUAAGCGCCAAGCCCUUCCCAAGAUGAGUUUUCCCUACAGGUUCGUGGAAGACCACCACGUUGAUAGGUCGCAGGUGUAAGUGCAGCAAUGUAUUGAGCCGAGCGAUACUAAUUACCAAUUGACUUCAUC
rnacentral:rRNA from 1 species